rnacentral:lncRNA from 1 species
CACGUUUCAUUUAGCCUUUGAAGCGUCUUAAGGCAAAAGUGGGAGCUCCACCAUGUGUGUAUGUGGUGAGAAAGCUUGACCUUGGGACCUUCACUUAUUUGCUUUCAGAGUACUGUGAUUGAUGUUUUGUAGGUUACUUGCACCACAUUAAUUGCAUCUAUGAAUUAUUAUAUCUACUUGAACUAACCCUUACAAGAUGAACAAGUGGAUUAGGCAGAUUCCUACGAAGAAACUGUUUGAAGACUAAACUGAAUGCAAGCAAGAGCAAACCACAAGAAAGCAACAGAGCCGCUGCCACUUCUCCUACUAGACAAAUGCUUCGUCAGUCGCUUAAGAGGCCACUCUCUUAGGCAGGUCCCAUGAAGACAGCUUGAGCAUGCUUACCUUCCGUUGCAUCUGUGAGUCGGUGGGAAGCACUUGCAUCCUCGCCACCCAGAAGUCUAGAUUGCUCCAGUUCAGCUCUCUCUUUACCUUCAUGGCAAAUGGCUGCACCUGGCCUCCUGCUUGCUAUAGUCACCAGCUGCAAAACAAAUAUAGAAAAGCAAGGCCUGAGGUCAUGCUAUGCAAACCAACCCCUGGGAUCCAUCUGGUCCAACAACCUCAGCUCAUUGAGAAAAGGUAUAGCUGGCCUGCAAAGGUAAGCUGUCUGACUAUUGAGAAAGCAAUAGGUUAUAUUCUGUUUACACUAGUCCUUAGGAAGCAAAUAUUGAAAUAAAAAUGUUCUGAUAUCAGCCGCUGUAUUUCCAUAUGAGCUAAAGGACACUAAGUUUUUAUAGGGCAUGAAAUAUUUAAUUCUGUAUUCUUUUCCCUCAGAAUCUCAACAUUAGUGUUUAAGUAAAGGUAAGCACUAAUAAUGUGAAAUUAAAAAGAUACUACCAUUGGGUCUCAAGACAUCAUUCUGAAAUAAGAAAAAGAAAUGUGAUAUAAUUUUAAGAGAAAUGCAACUAAAAUAUUUAUUUCAAACCUAUAAAGGCUGCUGAUUAGACACCCCAAUAUUUUUUUCGAUCACUAACUGGGUCUUCCUUGCAAGGCUCCAGGAAGACACCAACGAAUCCACGGCACAUUGCGAAGUCAUCACUAGUUAUGAAAUAGACUCUACUCUAUUGAUUGUAUUACAGUUUGUAACCUAUUGUAUUAAAACUACUUUAGUAAGUGG